rnacentral:rRNA from 1 species
GCAGUCGCCGCGGUAAUACGAAGGGUGCAAGCGUUAAACGGAAUUACUGGGCGUAAAGCGCACGUAGGCGGCUUUGUAAGUUAGAGGUGAAAGCCCGGAGCUCAACUCCGGAAUUGCCUUUAAGACUGCAGAGCUAGCAGGUGAGAGAGGUGAGUGGAAUUCCGAGUGUAGAGGUGAAAUUCGUAGAUAUUCGGAAGAACACCAGUGGCGAAGGCGGCUCACUGGCUCAUACUGGACGCUGAGGUGCGAAAGCGUGGGGAGCAAACAGGAUUAGAUACCCCCGUAGUCCCUGUCUCUUAUAC